GACGAACGCUGGCGGCGUGCUUAACACAUGCAAGUCGAACGAAGAGCGAUGGAAGCUUGCUUCUAUCAAUCUUCGUGGCGCACGGGUGAGUAACGCGGAAUCAACCUGCCCUUCAGAGGGGGAAAACAGUGGGAAACGACUUCUAAUACCGCAUACGAUCUAACCUCGGCAUCGAGGAUAGAUGAAAGGUGGCCUCUACAUGUAAGCUAUCACUGAAGGAGGGGAUUGCGUCUGAUUAGGUAGUUGGGGGGGUAAGGGACCACCCAGGCGAGGGUCGGGAGCCGGACUUGAAGGAGGGACCGCCCACUCGGGACUGGGACACGGCCCCGGAUCCUUCGGGAGGCAGCCGGUGGGAAACUUUCGCAAUGGAGGGAAGGCUGACGGGGCAACGGCGGGUGGGUGAUGACGGCUUUCGGGUUGGAAAGCUCUGUUAAUCGGGACGAAAGGACUUCUUACGAAUAGUGAGAAGGAUUGACGGUACCGGAAUAGAAAGCCACGGCUAACUACGUG
rnacentral:rRNA from 1 species